CNCNUGAGNGGUGGUUGGUGUGUGUGGGCAUNUCGGAUCCCUGCUCCGGGCAGNGACGGCAUCUCCAAUACGCCUCUUCAUUCGUGGGAANGAGCUAUUACUCGUCCGCGGUCGGCUUUCCUGUGUUGCAUACCUAUUGCGAGGGCAUUCGGUUGGCUAAAANGGUCCCAUCUCCNCCUUGUGUCGGCGCUCCGUGCGGGCGUACGGUGCGGGGUGGAUCUCACGGCGUCCGUUGUGUUUCGCGCCGCAUUCACCUAACUUGGUGUUUGGGUAGGCGACCCAUGACGUGAUGCGCGUUGUCUCGGGUACGGAACAUCGGGUGGGUUCGAGGCAUUGUCCUUCGAUCGCCACACAAAUGCGUUCUACGCUUUAUGCGAACGACGGCCGCACACGAGCUUUCGGCGGAGCACUCGCUGCUCGGUCGAAACCGUGUCGGCGUCGGUGAGGGAUGC
rnacentral:misc_RNA from 1 species